rnacentral:rRNA from 1 species
GAUGAACGCUGGCGGCGUGCCUAAUACAUGCAAGUCGAGCGAACAGACGAGAAGCUUGCUCCUCUGACGUUAGCGGCGGACGGGUGAGUAACACGUGGAUAACCUACCUAUAAGACUGGGAUAACUUCGGGAAACCGGAGCUAAUACCGGAUAAUAUAUUGAACCGCAUGGUUCAAUAGUGAAAGACGGUUUUGCUGUCACUUAUAGAUGGAUCCGCGCCGCAUUAGCUAGUUGGUAAGGUAACGGCUUACCAAGGCAACGAUGCAUAGCCGACCUGAGAGGGUGAUCGGCCACACUGGAACUGAGACACGGUCCAGACUCCUACGGGAGGCAGCAGUAGGGAAUCUUCCGCAAUGGGCGAAAGCCUGACGGAGCAACGCCGCGUGAGUGAUGAAGGUCUUCGGAUCGUAAAACUCUGUUAUUAGGGAAGAACAAAUGUGUAAGUAACUAUGCACGUCUUGACGGUACCUAAUCAGAAAGCCACGGCUAACUACGUG